rnacentral:rRNA from 1 species
UACGUAGGGUGCGAGCGUUGUCCGGAAUUACUGGGCGUAAAGAGCUCGUAGGUGGUUUGUCGCGUUGUUCGUGAAAUCUCACGGCUUAACUGUGAGCGUGCGGGCGAUACGGGCAGACUAGAGUACUGCAGGGGAGACUGGAAUUCCUGGUGUAGCGGUGGAAUGCGCAGAUAUCAGGAGGAACACCGGUGGCGAAGGCGGGUCUCUGGGCAGUAACUGACGCUCAGGUGCGAAAGCCAGGGGAGCGAACGGG